AUUGAACGCUGGCGGCAUGCCUUACACAUGCAAGUCGAACGGCAGCACGGGAGCAAUCCUGGUGGCGAGUGGCGAACGGGUGAGUAAAGUAUCGGAACGUGCCCAGUCGUGGGGGAUAACGUAGCGAAAGUUACGCUAAUACCGCAUACGAUCUAUGGAUGAAAGCGGGGGAUCGCAAGACCUCGCGCGAUUGGAGCGGCCGAUAUCAGAUUAGGUAGUUGGUGGGGUAAAGGCUAACCAAGCCGACGAUCUGCAGCUGGUCUGAGAGGACGACCAGCCACACUGGGACUGAGACACGGCCCAGACUCCUACGGGAGGCAGCAGUGGGGAAUUUUGGACAAUGGGCGAAAGCCUGAUCCAGCCAUGCCGCGUGCAGGAUGAAGGCCUUCGGGUUGUAAACUGCUUUUGUACGGAACGAAAAGGUUUGGCCUAAUAAGCUGAGCUCAUGACGGUACCGUAAGAAUAAGCACCGGCUAACUACGUGCCAGCAGCCGCCGUAA
rnacentral:rRNA from 1 species